rnacentral:rRNA from 1 species
AUUGAACGCUGGCGGCAGGCCUAACACAUGCAAGUCGAGCGAGCGGCGGACGGGUGAGGAAUGUCUGGGAAACUGCCUGAUGGAGGGGGAUAACUACUGGAAACGGUAGCUAAUACCGCAUACCAUAAGAUGUGCCCAGAUGGGAGUAGCUAGUAGGUGGGGUAACGGCUCACUUAGGCGACGAUCCCUAGCUGGUAUGAGAGGAGGACCAGCCGCACUGGAACUGAUACCCGGUCCAGAUUCCUACGGGAGGCAGCAGUGUGUAAUAUUGCACAAUGGGCGCAAUCCUGAUGCAGCCAUGCCGCGUGUGUGAAGAAGGCCUGCGGGUUGUAAUGCACUUUCAGCGGGGGGGCGUUACCCGCAGGAGAAGCACCGGCUAACUCCGGGCCAGCAGCAGCGGUGGUUC